AGGAUUAACGCUGGCGGCGUGCCUGACACAUGCAAGUCGAACGAGGCCGCAAGGCCGAGUGGCGGACGGGUGAGUAACACGUGACCAACCAACCUCGAAGUUGGGAAUAGCUCUGCGAAAGUAGGGGUAAUACCGAAUGUGGCCCAGGGCGGGCAUCCGCCUUGGUCUAAAGAUUCAUCGCUUCGAGACGGGGUCGCGGCCUAUUAGCUUGUUGGUGAGGUAACGGCUCACCAAGGCGAUGAUGGGUAGCUGGUCUGAGAGGACGACCAGCCACACUGGGACUGAGACACGGCCCAGACUCCUACGGGAGGCAGCAGUGAGGAAUCUUCCGCAAUGGGCGAAAGCCUGACGGAGCAACGCCGCGUGUGGGAUGAAGACUCGUAGGGUUGUAAACCACGUGUCGGAGGGGACGAUCGUGACGGUACCCUCCAAGAAACGCCCCGGCUAACUACGUGCCAGCAGCCGC
rnacentral:rRNA from 1 species